UAUGGUGCUGCAGGAACAGGAGAAAAGUGGAGAGACAGUGAGGAGCAGCUCUGCACAGCUUCUGUUCACCUGUGGCUGUGCCAAGGGAGCCUGGAUGGAUUGUAAUGCACAUGGAUAGACUGAAAUGCUCAGCAGAUGAUUUUGCUUAAAUCUCAAAUGCAAACAUGGGAGUGUUUUCCCAAGAUCCUGCAUUAUGCCUGCUGCUAAAACACACUCCAGGAGUUCUCAGGAGGACCCUCCAAAUGCUUUGCAGAGUGUGGUCCAGGGCCACUCAACUGUCCCCCAGUGUCACUAUU